rnacentral:tRNA from 1 species
UUAAUAGAAGCCAAAAAGAGGCCAUUCACUGUUAAUGAAUUAAUUGACAUUCCCUAUUAAG